GGACCUUGCGUAGUUUCUGGGGGGGGCUCUUGGCAAAACGGUAGCCUGGGGGCUGACGCUUACCUUGUUGCAGAAGAUGCAGCCUGUUGAGCGCUCGGCUGUCUGACCUUCAGGAAAGGGCUAGAAAUCAAGAAAAUCAGACUGGGACUGCUCGUCCUUGGGCGCUUCCUCUUUGCUGGGAAGACCCUGUCUGAUCACCUGCUCUCUUCACCCAACCUUGUUUCUCACUCACACCUCAUCUCUCCUCGUUUCGUCUGACCUCGGACUCUUGCCCGUCUUCCUUUCUCACCCCAGUCCGUCUUUGCUUCCUCUGCAUUUGAACCGGCGUGUGGCAGCCUGGCAAUCAGCCGCCUGCUGCGGGGACGAUCCAGCUCACGCUCUGCAGUAAGUGCAAUGGAGAGAAAGGUGAAAAAUUUGGCUACUAAGCAAGUCUGGCAAGCAUGUGAGAUUCUUGCCGCCACCUUCAUCCCUGGCACACUUGAAUCCUUCAUCCCUAGCUGGAGGUUCCUGCUUCAUCAGGUGUGGUGAGUCAACUGUCUGUAUAUAGCUAAGGAGCCAAACACUCUGAAAGGGAGCAAAAAUAACACUACAUUUAUUUACCCCUGGUUUUUGUUCUUUCAGAUUAAUUACAGGGAUGUUAUGAGGCAGGGUUGUUGACCACACAAAUAUAGGUUGUUCACAAUAAUACCUAUAGUCUGGAGGAAGAAACUGUAAUUGCGUACUAAAUAUAAUUUUUCUGUGGUUCCAUCAGCUAUAUAUUUAAUUUAUUUUUCCAUUCCUCUUCGAGGGCACUAGUAAACAUUUGUUGGGUUGUUUUUUUUUUUUUUUCCUUCCCCAAAGCAUCUUCACUGUGGUUUAUUUGUACUCUGUGUCUCAUUCUUUUAGUCUCCUUUCUACACACCAGCGCUGAGAACACAACUUUGCUCCAGCCCUCAAGAACCUUUUCGGCUGCGUCAGCCUCAGCCCCCAGCACCACCUCUUGGUUGUCAGCAUGGCAGCAGUGUGAACACUGCAAACAGCCUUGGCCUGAGCGUUACCAGUGUGUCUCCAGCAGCUGCUACCACAGGGGCAGCUCCUUGGUGUCACCAGGUUUCAUAUUAACGU